GAGGCCUCUCUCUGCCUGAGAGAUAGUUCUUUCCGCACAAACCUAACUAGACCUCCAGUGACACCAGCUUGGGUCAAGCCACUACCUUUGCUCCAGGUCGGAGCCUUGUGAUUGCCACCCACCUCUCACUGCCAUGUGAAUGGGCCGCUCAAAGGUGGCAGGUCCCUGACAUAUGUGGCCAUGGUGCUCCAUGGUGCAGUUGUAGGAGGACCUGUGACCCUGCCACCUGCCUCCCACUCCUCCCUUUAUGUACCUGAUCUGCCUGUGCCAGCCUAGAAUGCCACUCGCCCCCAUGCCUAGCAUGGCUCCCGGCACAGACAGGACACCUGCAGAUGAGUGCUGAAUGAAGAGACCUCCGAGGAUGCUUGGUGACAUGGGGCUUUGGAGCCUGGUCUGGCACUUGGUCCUUCCUGUACCUGUCAACAGCUGCAGAGGAUGAGUUUCUAUGGAUGCUGCCCCUAUAAUUCAGAGAGGUUGCGGAACUCGGCCAAGAUUGCAGAGCAGACCUGCUGGCUCCACCACCUAUGCUCAGCCCACUGUUGCCCAUUCACAGGCUCUUUGGUGCUCCCUGCCCCAGGAGAGGACGUGACCGUGUGAAGUAGCAGGAAGUAGAAGGGGCCUCUGCUUGACUUUUAUAGGAAACAGCUUUGGAAUUAGGGGAAACUAUAAAGGCAACAGAUAUAGAAAAACACCCUGGGAGAGUAAAAACAGUCCCACCCCAUUGACUAGCAAAGUCCUCUCUGCAUGGAAGGAAGCCGGGCUGUGUGAGGGCCAUGGCUCCUCAUGGGGCUGGAUCCAGGGGUGGGGUGGGGG
rnacentral:lncRNA from 1 species